GACAGAGGUGCCGAGCGUUAGGCGGAAUCACUGGGCUUAAAGCGUGUGUAGGCGGGUCCGUAAGGACCUUGGGAAAUCCCAUGGCUCAACCAUGGAACUGCUUGGUAUACUGCGGAUCUUGAGCCACCUAGGGGCAAGUGGAACAAACGGUGGAGCGGUGAAAUGCGUAGAUAUCGUUUGGAACGCCAAUGGUGAAAACAACUUGCUGGGGGUGUGCUGACGCUGAGACACGAAAGCCAGGGGAGCAAACGGG
rnacentral:rRNA from 1 species